rnacentral:lncRNA from 1 species
GUAUACGUGCGUAAUCUGUAGCUGCACUUCGAAUAGCGGAGGGAAAGAGAGACACAUGGAGAAAGAAAGAACGUAGUUUAUAAGAGCGGGUUGAAGCUCAAAUCCUUAGUGCCAAUCCCAGUUUCAGUUUUUGGAUACCGCAAAAAAAGGGUUAUCUUUUCGGUAGAGAGAAAUUGAGCUAACCAGGCUGAGUGCCUUAAAGGCAUCGCAUACUAACACUAAAUACAACGCACAUUGGCAUCGAUUUUUCGAAGGGAGAUGUACAGUGGCCCGUGAAAACAGCGGCAAUAACUGCUAGCCCAACUCGAUAAAGUAUAACGAGGGCUCGUAACGACACGGAGUGAGAUCAUUCGCAAAUGUGACAGUAAUACCUGAGUCGGCUUCAGUAACAGCUUUGAUAGGCGUCAAGUAUUGCGCCUUGAUGUUUGACGACCAGAAGGUGCUCAGUGGAUCUUCGACAUUUCUACUUCCUCAUUAUUUUUCCUUUUCAACAAGCACAAUAUAAGGCAGUACAGUGACGGUCACUCAAACCCCAUAGGCCGUGUAGAAUGUUUUGCGAUAGGAAAAAAGAAAGCUAGGUUUAGUGAGUGCACUGCACAGCACUUAAUUAAGACUGGAUGCGUUGGCAAUGCGAGGUUCAUGAGUCUAAAGAGGUGGCAGCAUUUAUUCUCUGUUUAUAAAACUAUUUUGCUCUUUUACGGAUAGAAUCCUUUCGUCUACAUGGCGAAAGCUAUGAUUAUACUUAAAGGAAACGUCUGAUUGAAACGCUCUUACGCUUCAGACCCGCUAUUAAUCAAUGUCGCUUGUAGGCCCGUCGUGCUGAGUAGGUUCAUUCCUCGCGUAAGUUAUUUUAGCUUAUUCGGGUUGUGCCUUUUGAACUAGUUACAAUUCGAAAGCAGUUGAUUGAGUCAAUCGUCUGUAAAUACUCUAUUAUCCUAAUCAGCUUGACCGAUAUUGGAAUACGCGCGCCAACCAAUUGCCGAAGCGACUGGCGGCUUCGAAGUUCUGCGGCAGAACUUACUUUUUUCCGCUGGUCUAUCCUUCUGUCUCUCGCUCUUUACCUAUUUGUAUUACUGCUAUUAGUAGCUACUCCUGCAGACGGACGAAAUCAACCGAGUAAAACCAACGAGCGUAAACACGUCAAGCAACAUCUAUUGCAUGAAAUUGAAAAGCACAGCGUGACUGUCCGGUCACGAAAAAUCGUAUGCGAUAAAACAGGUCCAAAACGAGGACAAAGAGAAGCAGUGGAAGUGCUGCUAUGCCAUGAGAUGAGCUAGUGCCAGAAACGCACCGCAAACAAUUAUGAACAAUGACUUCUAUGACAACUACUGUGAUUAUUACAAAUACUACAAAUACACCCGGGACGACGCCGUAGCUCCUUCUGACUACAGUUGACGCUUGCUGUCAUAUACUCCUGUUGAUCGUACGACGAUAACAGCUGCAGCAGCAGCAGCAGCAGCAGCAGCAACGAUCAUAGCCAACCAAACAACAACACGUCGCCGCGAUAUUUUAUCAACUCUAGCCUGUCGUUACUGUUGCAAUUAGAAUCAUAUACAAUAGGAACAGGUGCUUCCCUACGGCAAUGGAGCAGUGGCUGCACAUCGAAAUUUCCCGCUAUAAUUAUUAUAGUUGGAGUUAAAUUCCAACCGUGAUGCUACUAUCCCUGAAGCAAGCUGGCAAUUAACCGACUAUCGGAAAGUCUCCGUUUCUACAGUUGUCAGUAGGCCCAGCUGCUAAAGAACAACGAAGUAUCAACUGGCCAUGUCCCUUCUUCAGCUAGCGCGAAUCAGUGAGAACACAACAGUUGAGAACGGACGUGAUUGCGGAAUAGUAAAUAUGUCUUUCAUCCAUAAAGUGCAUGCGGAAAAGUGCGUCGCGCGUUAAAAAAGAAAGAAAUUACGACUAGAUCAUAGUGUUAUUGAUCGGAGUGCGUGCUGAAGCAACUGAGGGAUUGUGCGCACGCAUCAGUGCCCCGAAACCGCUGUCUUAACUCACCUUCAGUGAAGUGGAGCAUGCAUUUGAGUUGACUUCAAUGCCCAUUCGUAGCAGCCAGAUCGAUCAAUCGGCUAAGCAGUGAACGAAUGUGUCAUAUCCGAUACGCACAGAACGUUCGAGGUAAAUCGGGAAACAUUUUUACGGCUUGUCGUAGUGGCGUUCGUCCAUCGGCUAUGCGUAAUGAAGAGGGCAAAUUGUUUCCAGGACAGGAUAACAAGUUCAUCAUGACGGACACAAUGCCCCGACAGCUGCCCAGUAUCGGGGAACAACCGCUGGCGUCGUCCCAUCGUUUCUGCGUUGCUCCUCGUGGUAUCGCAGUAAAUCCUAUGACCAACGUUUUGUCUCCGAGGGUCUACGCCGCUGUUCUAAAGCCGCUCCGACGAAGAACUGUAUCCUGUCAUUCCAUUUCAUCAUCACACUGCUUCCUUGGGGCCUAUUUCACAGUCUCCAGUGGCCAGAGCUUAGACCUUAAAUCUGUUCCCGUUAUCUUUUCUUGCGCGAACAGAAAAACGCUUUUAAGCCGUGAAUGAACGUUGUAUGUAUGCGCACAGCAAGAUGUAGUCGUUUUUUCUGUGCCUUAUGUCCUUUCCUUCAAAGUGAACAGUAACCAUCGUGUGCUCAGUAGAGUUUCUUUCAUGUCUACCUGUCCCAUGCACAUAGUGCGAGCACAAAAUGAA